UACGUAGGGGGCAAGCGUUGUCCGGAUUUAUUGGGCGUAAAGAGCGUGUAGGCGGCUUGGUGGGUCUUGCGUCAAAACCUGAGGCUCAACCUCAGUUCGCGUGGGAAACCACCUAGCUAGAGUCCGGAAGAGGAGAACGGAAUUCCCAGUGUAGCGGUGAAAUGCGCAGAUAUUGGGAAGAACACCAGUGGCGAAGGCGGUUCUCUGGGACGGUACUGACGCUGAGACGCGAAAGCGUGGGGAGCGAACAGG
rnacentral:rRNA from 1 species